rnacentral:lncRNA from 1 species
GACAAAUAUUAUUAAAAUAAAUAUCAUUAUCAAAUUGUUAUUAUUAUAAAGUUAUACUUAGUUUAAUAUUGUCAUUAUUAGUAUAUACUAAAACUAAGUAAACUUAGUUUAUAAUUAAUAUUCUUAGAAUUCACUCAAUAACUGAAGUAUGAUUAAAAUAGUUCUAGUGAAAAUGUAGCUUAUUUUCAUAUUUCACAUUUGUGUGUGUGCUGUGUAUUAUGAUCAUUAGACUGUUGUGUUGUUAGCUGAGCAACAUGCUAAUGUCUGACUAUAGGAAUGAGUCGAAGGUGCAUCUCUUGUGGAGUAGACUGCUGUCUAUGUAGGGGAGUCUCUAGGUGUUUUGUACAGAGCCGCUGUGUUCAUGUUCUCUUUGUAUUCUCCACAGACUCUCUCCUGGCUCAAAGACAGCGUUGCGAUGGCCACUCAGAUCUGCAGUUUGGCCGGACCGAACGGUUUUGAAGCAGCCAAGAGGCGUCAGGCCUCACUGGAACAGGAUAUCCUGUCCAACAGAGCCAGGAUAGAGCUGGUCAAGAAGGAGGGUUACAGUCUGGUGAGGGCUCAGCAUCCGGGCAGCAUCAAGAUCCAGGAGUUUCUGAGUCAGCUGGAGGUUCUGUGGGACGAGCUGAAGAGAAGGCAUGAGAGGAACGGUCUGGUCCUGAAGGUCUCAGAGGAGCUCAACUGCAGGGUGGUGCGGAUGCUGCAGUCUCUGGCCAGUCUUCAGGCGUGGUUGGAGGCGGUGGAGCUGUCCAUCAGGCAGGCGUCUCUGGCUGGAGACCCCGAGUCCGUGAGCGUGGCGGAGCAAGAGAGCUGCCAGCUGGAGCAGGAGCUUGAGGCCAGACGUCUGGAGCUGCAGAACCUCAGACAGGAAGUAGAUUAUCUGAGCAGUCAAAGACAUCUUCACACUCAGCUGCUUCCUGCACGCCUGAAGGACGUGGAAAUGAAGUUCAGCAGUGUGCAGAUGGCACUGACCCAACAGAGCUCAGAGCUGAAGGACACACGGAUGCUCACGGACUUCCUGGAGAAGCUGGAGCUCGAGGAAAGCCACUACAGCACUCUGGGACAGCCGCUGUGUGGAGAGCUCGACUCUGGCCCGUCUCUUCUGGGCUCGCCGGUGAGCAGACAUGACGAGCCCCUGAUGGAAGCCAUUGGGAACCCUGUGAAGGAGCUCAGAGAAGCAGUGGAGAUGCUCAAUGACACGGCGCGGGAGAGGGGCCGCUCGCAGUCACAUGACCAGAGCAUCCAGGAGCUGAUCACCAGGCAUGCCAUGGUGUCAGCGCACGUGGAGCAGUGUCUGCAGCGCUGUGCGGAGCUCGCCGUAGAUGUGCUGGAGAUUGAAAGUGAGAUGGCUGUGAGAUGUGAGCCGGAUCGCUGUGGUCUGGAUGACCUGCAGGAGUACCAGGACCAGCUGGAGGCUGAAUACAGGGUCUUGAAGGAGGAGGUUGAGGCCAUGGUGAGUCUGGCGAGCUGUUUGUCAGACGUGUGCCCGGAGAGGAUGAACGCUGUAGGGACUGAGAUUCAGACCAGCCUGAACGCCUGGGACGAGCUCGGCAAAAGUGUGGCUGAAAACAAGAAGAGACUCCUGCAGUUCGGACACCUGCGCCAUUUCUUUAGGAACUACCUGGCAAUGAUCUCUUGGACAGAAGACACCCGCUCCUGCAUUUUCUCAGAAAGCGCUCUGCGUCAAAGCCGAGAGAACCAGGAGCCUCUGGUUGAGGUUCUGGAUCGGCAGAUAGAGCAGAAGUUUGAGGAGUUUGAUCAGCUCGCCGUGGCUGGAAAAAAACUCUUUGACGACGAGCAUCACCUCAACAAAAUGAUCAGAGAGAGGGUGGAGGAGCUGAGGAGCAUGCUGGGAUGGAUCCUGGUCCACUGGAGGGCUCAGAAGGAUCAGCUGUUGAGCAGACAGAAGACUGAAGAAGCUCAAACAGAUGCUAUUUACUCCGAGGCCAUGGUCUGCAGCCCACAAACACAGUUGGAAACCUCACCCGAGGUCUCUCAGAAGAAAACAGAAAGCCUCAAAAGUGCUCCCCCUGGUGACACGGAGGAUGGUUUGCAGCACAGUUAUGGAUAUGAGGUGAUGCAAAGUGUCAGUCCUAAAGGAAGCGAUGAUAGCGGUCGUUUAGAGAGGCCGGAUUCACCGUACCUGGUGCUAAAGGAACCCAGCCCAUCAGCUUUAGGAGGCACCGUCAACCUCAUCCUCAGCUUCAGUAACUCUGGAGACACACAAAUCCAGGUAAGUACUUACUUGCAUGUUACGGAAAACAACACGGCAGUGUAUGAAAGUAUGGCGCUUCCCCAAGACAAAGCUCCAAGGCCCUCCUCCUCCUCUCCCAGGACCCUAUAUGCUCUCUCCUCCCCUUGCACCUCCCCAUACUCCUCGUCCUCCAUCAAAGACACACUACAACAGGCCAACAACCUCCUGCCAAAGAAUGGCAACAUCUCAAUCUUAAGCAGCCUGAAGAGGAAGAGCAAGAAGGCCAGGAAGAAGAAAGAUGACCGUAGACACACCAUUCAGAAGAUCAUGGGAGAGGAUCUGUCAGAGCAGGGAGAGGAUCUGUCAGAGCAGGAUGAUUUGCCACCUGUACGUGAACCGGUGACAUACGAUACACAUACUUGGCCCCUGAAGGAAAGAAAGAAGAGGAAAAAUGCAAGGAAACCAAAAAGCGAUGGGACUCAGGUCUUGGACUACAUAAAAAACCCUUUAGUGAAAGACAUAGAUGCAGAAUGUUCUGGAGAGGUUGGAUCUCCAGUUCACAGCACCUUAGAGGUUGCCACCCAAGGACAUGUGAAGAACCACUGUAGAUUUCUAUCCUUGGGCUCUGUGUUAAGCUUCGACCUGCCCAAGGAUAUGAGCCUUAUCCCUAGCAUUCAAGAUGUCAUCACAAUUGGCCCUCCUGAGCAAAAGAAGACAGACUCUCAUCACCAGGACACUCAGGUUGAUCGUCCAACAGCUCUGAGCACCUUUAAAACAGUCCGCUCAUGUCCAAUGCAAAAAGAAGAGCCCAAACAAAUUUCUCCAGGUGAACUAACCCUUAAGAUUGAGUGUAAAGACUCCAAAAAGAUCAGCAUUGACACGGUUUCUUUUACUGAAGAUGAAUUUCCUCCUCCACCUUCUCCAGUUGUUGAAGACAUCUCAUUUGAGGAGAAUCAUCCCUCAUCAGUCAGUAAUCUGACCAAUAUUCAACAGAAACAUCUGUCUGGGAUAAGUAUAGUGCCCAAAGAAGAGAUGGUUAGUUGGAAAGCAAAUGGGACUCAACUUGAGAACAAGGAGAACCACUACGUAAGUGUUCCAGAAGAUGCCAUCCAAGGUGUAGCCUUAACUAUGGCAGAGAUUCAUGUAUGUCCUAGCGACCAUACCUUGGUUCACAAUCUUAAUGGACAUGUGUUCCAUAGACCAGUGAAGAACUCCAGCACUCAACAGUUAAGUCCCAGCCAUGCAUCUCAUGUAGUGUUGAACUUCAGAGCCAAUGGAAGAGAGGACUCAGUGGACUCUGGUCACUCCAGCUCUGGAAGCUUCAAGUUAUGUGCAGAGGGUCCAUACAUAGACUCCUCAGAUUGUCCAGUGCCCAAGAGGACCACUGGGAAGGUACCAUCCCUGGAUGCAGGAGUGUCGACCAAGAACUUUGAGUUCUCCAAGGACACAAACAUUACCUUAUCAUUCGACAUUGAUGCUCCAGUUCAUCCUGACCAUCAACAGUUUGAGCAGGAAGAGGAGGAGCUGGAGGACAUCUGGAACCACACCAACAGCCACCGAGAGAGUCUGAACUCUGACAUCAUGUAUAAUGGCUACCAGGCCACCUCUUCUCUAGACCAGCACAGGGAACCCUCACCCAAAGAACAAGCAGUGCUCUUCAGGAAGUUGGUCACGGCCUCUGCACCCAACCUUCUUGUGGCGGAGUUCAGACUGCCACCAUCUGUCCAGACUAUGGUGGGUUCUGGGAAGCAGCAGAACCCAAGGGAAGAAAGGCAAAUUCUGGAUAAAGGGGACAGAAGGUCUUGGGCUGCGUUCACUCAGCAGGAACAGGUUUACAAACAAGUGUCUCUUAAUGAAACAGCUUCAGAUAUGGUUAAACUACCUGAAAUACAGGACCAGCAAAAGUAUAUCUACCAUUAUAGAGAGGAGGAGGAGGAAGAGGAGGGGGAGGAGAAGGAAACAGGUUUUCUGAAGGACCAAUCCAUGAGCCUACUGUCUGUUCAUAUGGGAUUGGAUUGGACCAGUGACAAUGUUAUCCAGAGUGGAAGACAAGAACUGGAACUGCCAUCUAUGGAAGGUACACUGGAGAGGAAACAAAAACUACAACUCGGUGGAAAGAAGGCUUCAUGCAGGGCGUGGAACUCCUAUCAUGCUGUGCUAUACAAACAAACAAUAUGUUUCUAUCAGGACAGGAAAGAUACACUCAAGAGCUGUAUGACCAGCCUUCCUCUGAAUCUAAUCGGAGCGGUGUGUGAACCGUCGCCAGAGUACACCAAAAAACCCACUGCUUCUGCUUGAGAUUGCGGGAUGGAUCUGAGUAUCUCCUCAGUGCAUCGUCCCGAUUCAUGAUGAAGAAAUGGAUCCUCAGAAUCCAAGCACACACUG